rnacentral:rRNA from 1 species
UACAGAGGUCUCAAGCGUUGUUCGGAUUCAUUGGGCGUAAAGGGUGUGUAGGUGGCGCCGUAAGUCGGGUGUGAAAUCUCGGGGCUUAACUCCGAAACUGCAUUCGAUACUGCGGUGCUUGAGGACUGGAGAGGAGACUGGAAUUCAUGGUGUAGCAGUGAAAUGCGUAGAGAUCAUGAGGAAGACCAGUGGUGAAGGCGGGUCUCUGGACAGUUCCUGACCUGAGACACGAAGGCCAGGGGAGCAAACGGG